GCCUAAGUAGCUUAAACACAGAGCAUUGGUCUUGUAAGCCAAAAGUGGGCAUGUGUGCCCCUUAGACA
rnacentral:tRNA from 1 species